GCCCGCCUAGCUCAAUCGGAUAGAGCGUCAGACUCUUAUGUCGGUCGCGAAAUGUGAUCAUAAAAUCUGAAGGCUGCGAGUUCGACCCUCGCGGUGGGCU